GCCUAGAACUACGCGCGGGUUUAGAAGUGCGCGUCGUGUGUAGUAAAUUGUAUUUAAUUUUGCUUUUUUUGUAAAAUAAGUGUGUUAAAGAAUUUUUCAUUGUAGAUAUAGAAAAGGAUAGUAUUUUUUUGUGUUCCGAUAGAUGUGAGUAAACUGUGAAAUUAGAGAAAAGGAAGUCGAACCUGAAAAAGAAGACAAAAUUAAGAAAACUUACCUGUAACGACGAUAAAGAACCUGAAACAGAAAAAAACUACAAAAAAGGUCCGCACAGUGGGCCUUUUUUAUGUAUUAUCUCAAAUAGGCUGGACAUCGACAGACACUUUCUAGGCAGAAAGUGCAGCGAGCCACCAACGUACUCGAGUGAGCGGUUCCAAACUGGAACGAACGUCCUAACCCCAAUCUAUGAUCGAGGUUGACUGUGGUGACAGACAUGUCACAGACGACCACAUCGUGAGACAAAUUCACACGAAGGAUACGGAAUAAGAACGGAAAACAUCAGAUCACGGGCCGAACCACAUUGCUCAAAAUUUAUAAAUGCGCAAGUAUACAAAGUUUGAAUUGUGACGUCACAAAUACAAUAGUCGACUCAAAUACACAGAAAAGUACAUGUAUAGUAAUUAGUUAGAUUUAUAAAAACUACAUGCAAUUCGAAUUAAAA